CCUACGGGAGGCAGCAGUGGGGAAUCUUGCGCAAUGGGCGAAAGCCUGACGCAGCAACGCCGCGUGCGGGAAGAAGGCUUUCGGGCUGUAAACCGCUUUCAGCAGGAACGAAAAUGACGGUACCUGCAGAAGAAGGAGCGGCCAACUAUGUGCCAGCAGCCGCGGUGAUACAUAGGCUUCAAGCGUUGUCCGGAUUUAUUGGGCGUAAAGAGUUCGUAGGCGGUCGAGUAAGUCGGGUGUGAAAAUUCUGGGCUCAACCCAGAGACGCCACCCGAUACUGCUUGACUUGAGUUCGAUAGGGGAGUGGGGAAUUCCUAGUGUAGCGGUGAAAUGCGCAGAUAUUAGGAGGAACACCGGUGGCGAAGGCGCCACUCUGGAUCGAUACUGACGCUGAGGAACGAAAGCAUGGGUAGCAAACAGGAUUAGAUACCCUGGUAGUCCAUGCCGUAAACGGUAGGCACUAGGUGUGGGAUUCUAUUAACGAAUUCCGCGCCGUCGCUAACGCAUUAAGUGCCCCGCCUGGGGAAUACGGUCGCAAGACUAAAACUCAAAAUGAAAUUGACCGGNNGAGACGNGCGAGACGACGACGAGGGAGAGG
rnacentral:rRNA from 1 species